rnacentral:rRNA from 1 species
UACAGAGGUCUCAAGCGUUGUUCGGAUUCAUUGGGCGUAAAGGGUGCGUAGGUGGCGCCAUAAGUCAGGUGUGAAAUCUCGGGGCUUAACUCCGAAACUGCAUUUGAUACUGUGGUGCUUGAGGACUGGAGAGGAGACCGGAAUUCACGGUGUAGCAGUGAAAUGCGUAGAGAUCGGCAGGAACACCCAGGGGGAAACCAGUCGACUGGGCAGCACCUGACGCUGAGGUGCGAGAGCGUGGGGAGCGAACCGG